GGCGCGGUAGCCAAGUGGUAAGGCCGAGCUCUGCAAAAGCUCUAUCCGCCGGUUCGAUUCCGGCCCGCGCCUCCA
rnacentral:tRNA from 2 species